rnacentral:lncRNA from 1 species
UCGCUUCUUCUCAUUUUCCCCAAACUUUAGUUGUCUCAGGUUGAAUAGGUUAAGAACCUGAGUCUGCUCAGAGAAGCCCUUGUCUGAAUCUGUACUUUCUCUGCCAUCUAGUUGCCGGGGUGAAUUUGAGAUGAAUCAGAGGGGCAGCAUCUUUCUCGUGGCCCAGUGGACUUCUCUGGGGACUUUCUCUGAAGUCACCUCUCCAUUUUUCCCUGGAUUCGAGGCUGGCCCAAGUGAGAGGUGGCACUCUAAAACAAGGAAAAACAAGCGUUGACAGCAAGCUGCAGAAACUCCAGUGACUAACUUUGGCAAAUGGUGGCUGGCUGGAGAAUUUCAUCUCUGCUAAACACAUCCGGCAUUAAAUCUGAAGAGCAAUGAUGACACAAGCACAGGACGGGGAACGAAGAACUCGGCAGGGAACGAGCCCUGAGGCAUUCGUACAGGUGAGGAAAAUAGGUUUGGACGUAGUUGGCCAAAAACUCUUCCCUCACUUUGUAAAUGGAGCCCAAGGCUCUCUCUUGCAGCCCAAUCUCUUAGGAUGAAAUGUCGUCUCUUCUCCCACUCCAGCGGCGAUGCUGGUGAAGCCGAUGUCAGGAAAUUGGUCCAAGAUGACAGUUUUUCCCAUGCAAGGGAGCAGCGGGUCGUUCCCUCCAGUGAGGAAAAUGGGGAAAUCAUGACACCUCCCCAGGGGAAAGUGUUCAGGGAGCAAGAACAAGCCUGUGGACUUCUGGGAGACAAAAGUGGCAGAUGGAUCAACCUGGCAAGUGGGAUUUGGACCUGGAAGUUGCUCUUCUUGAGGAGAAGCUUCAACCAGCGCAGUAGACCUAAGAAAAUGGGUGGAAAGAAGCACAGGCACUGUGCAAGUCCCACCAAGAAUGAUAUAUACUAAUGAAGCAAGAUCUAGCGAGAAGUCAGGACUUCUAGCCACUCUUCUGCCACUGGUUGCUGGAAGACUGCAGGUAAGUCAUCUCACCUCUCCAUACCUCAGUUUUUUAAUCUGUAAAUUGGGGAUAAAAUAAGUCCUACGUCAGAGCAAUG